rnacentral:lncRNA from 1 species
ACAUAAUUAAUAUUCCGUUAUUAUUCAUUAUUCAUGCUAAUUGAUAUUUAUGCAAUACUAAAUAUGUUAAUAGGUAUUAUGGGUAUAUACAGGGUGGUUCACGAAACCUGAAGAUCGUCUUUGAUAUUUGAAAUUAUUUGCGGCAUUCAUUCUUUACAUGUAUGAUUCUUGAAGCAUGAUGAUUACAAUAUUCUCCUACUGUUUGUGUGCUGACAAUAUUAUCGGAGAUAAUAAGAAUCUCGUUCAGAUUUCAAAUUAUUUAAUAAAUCCAAUAUUUUCUAAAUUUUUACAUAAUUCUCACCCUCUCCGGUAUUAUCGAAAGCGCAAUAAAGUUAGGAGUUAAACUCAAAUAUUAAUAAUGAACCUCCCCCUCCCCUAUCCCUAAAUUAUCCUUUAUUUUUUUAUCAAUCCAUGUUUAUUAUCCUAAAAAAAUAUGUAUAAUAAUUAAUAACCCUGUUCUAGAGGAAUAUAUAAAACAUGAAUUAAUAUUUUAUGAUGAAAGAUGGAAGGGGAUAUAGUUAGUUUAAAUUGUUUUAAUUACAUCCCAUCAUUAUAGAUUAAAUAAAUAAUUAAAAAUAAA